UUAAUCUUAAGUGGUACAAUUAAUGUUUGGUUUGUUUAUGAAUGUUUUGAUUUUUACAUGUGUUAAAGUCAUAUUAAAUAUAUAUUAAAUGGUAUUGCAAUCAAAAUAAAACAGGAUAGCUUAGAAGUGGAAACUGAGUGUUGGGUUGUGAGUGCAAAAAUUCGAAACUGCUGGACAACGGUGAUUGAGGGCAUAAAUGAGAAAGGGGAUAUGGUGUUUUUGAGAAUCCUAGCAAGGUAGGUAGGGGCACAAUUCAGAGUGUAAAAGGGAAGAGAUUUUCAGGAUUGUUAAGGGUUUUUUGGGAAAUACUGUGAGCGUAAGGUUAGUGGCUGAUGAGGAGAGUAAAGAGCACGAGAAGCUAAGUCGCAUUGUGAGAAAGAGAGAACGUGGAGGUUGAGAACAAGAGGUUAAAAUGAGGUUUUUGGAUUCAUUAUGAACUGAGUGUAAGAAUGUCAUUGUUUGCAAGGCUUGAAAAUUGAGUGUGAUACGUAUAAAAUUGAAGUUUUAUCUGUCUGCUGCUUGAAAUGAAAGGAGUAUCCAUGAUUUUAUUGCUUUAGGCUUAAGUUUGGUCUGAAAAGAUGACCUUAAGGGUAGGAAGAAGGAACGACUUAAAUAAGCUAUGAGAAUUUAUUGAUCAAAAAUGUUUUGUUGACACCAUUUCUUUGACACAAAUUUGACACCUGGCACGUGACGUCAAACUAUUGCAUCAUUUCACAAACGCUUUUAAAAAAUCUGAGGAAGGUAUAAAAUGAAAUGUCAUUAUAUGAAAUAUCAUUUUAGCGGUUUCAUUUUUCUUCUCUAGUUCACUUUCCCGUGUCUCCCAUUCGCUUGAACUCUCCCAUUCGCCUCCUCUCUCCCAUUGCCAUCGUCUGGAAUCGCUUCAUCUCACCGAAACUUCUCUGGUUCACUUUCCCGUCUCUCUAAUUCGCUUGAACUCUCUCAUUCGCCUCGUCUCUCCCAUUGGGUCUCUUCCAGUGUCGCAUUGUCUCGCUUGUCUUGGUAAGUAAAAGAUGUCGAACCCACUCUUUUUUUUGAGAUUUUUUUGUUUGUGUUUUUUGUGAACCCUAACCGUCUUCUCUGCCAAUGAAUUUUUUGUAUGAAAUAAGUGCACUUGCAAUGGCGUCCCAAAAUCCAAAGGUGAGUUAAAGUUUUGGUCUUUUAUAUAGUCGCAUUUUUUUGGUAAGUAAUAAGAAUGUUUUCGUAAUCUUUUGUAGUGACAGGUUCGAAUCUCUUUGGAUUCAUCAAC
rnacentral:lncRNA from 1 species